GUGUCUGUAGCUCAGUGGAUAGAGUAUUUGUUUCCUAAGCAGAAGGUUGUGGGUUCGAUGCCUACCUAACGCG
rnacentral:tRNA from 1 species